AUUGAACGCUGGCGGCAGGCCUAACACAUGCAAGUCGAGCGGCUGAAGGGAGCUUGCUCCUGGAUUCAGCGGCGGACGGGCGAGUAAUGCCUAGGAAUCUGCCUGGUAGUGGGGGAUAACGUCCGGAAACGGGCGCUAAUACCGCAUAAGUCCUGAGGGAGAAAGUGGGGGAUCUUCGGAUCUCACGCUAUCAGAUGAGCCUAGGUCGGAUUAGCUAGUUGGUGGGGUAAAGGCCUACCAAGGCGACGAUCCGUAGCUGGUCUGAGAGGAUGAUCAGCCACACUGGAACUGAGACACGGUCCAGACUCCUACGGGAGGCAGCAGUGGGGAAUAUUGGACAAUGGGCGAAAGCCUGAUCCAGCCAUGCCGCGUGUGUGAAGAAGGUCUUCGGAUUGUAAAGCACUUUAAGUUGGGAAGAAGAGCAGUAAGUUAAUACCUUGCUGUUUUGACGGUACCAACAGAAUAAGCACCGGCUAACUUCGUG
rnacentral:rRNA from 1 species